rnacentral:lncRNA from 1 species
GCUUGGAUCCCCAAGUCAUUAUUUGGAGGAGAGCCUCUGCAAAGAACUGCCUGCUGUGCACUGGACUGUGAGACUCUGAGCCUCCUUGACGGGAAAGAUUUUCCUUCUGGACCUCCAUCUCCCUGGUGAAAGAAAGGUGGCACAUGGCAAAUCUUCAACAAACGUUGGCUGUUUGAAUGGAUUGGUGAAGGAUGAAUGGAUAAAUGAAGUGCAGAUCCCUUGCAAUUGGAGUCUGUGUUAGGGUCUGUGUUAUACCUCCUGUAUCCUUGGUACCUGGCACUGUUCCUUGAACAGAGUUUUUAAACCCGUGGAUGCUCUUUCAGCAUGGAAGUCACUGGAAUCAGUAUUUAGGGGAAGAGUUAUGAGUUGUUCUUUAUUUCUCUAUUAGUUAUAACCAGCUUACUUCCACAAAGAGCUUAAAGAAAAAGAACAUUAAGACUAGGACUUUUUCUCAAACAUCUUACAGAUUACAGGAUUGUUCUUUUGAACUCUGAAAAAUAAGCUGGUUUUGCUGUCAACUUUAUGAUUGGGUCAGAAGUCAUCAGUGCUUUAACAACAGAAUCUUGGGUGUGGUGUUUCCAUGAUUUCACCCAGGCAUGUUCCCAGCAUGAACAUAAGGGAGGGAACACAUGAUUAAAUAACGGUUUUUAACAUCUUGUCACAACUACAUGUUUAGCCGGACUCUCAAUAAAAAAUGAAUGUGUCCUCAG